AUCAGGAAUCUUGCGCAAUGGGGGCAACCCUGACGCAGCGACGUCGCGUGGAGGACGAAGGCCUUCGGGUUGUAAACUCCUUUUAUCGGGGAAGAGCAAGGACGGUACCCGAUGAAUAAGCCCCGGCUAACUCCGUGCCAGCAGCCGCGGUAAUACGGAGGGGGCGAGCGUUGUCCGAAUUUAUUGGGCGUAAAGCGCGUGUAGGCGGGUUUUCAAGCCUGGGGUGAAAUCCUGAAGCUCAACUUCAGAACCGCCCUGGGGACUGAGAGCCUGGAGGCCGGCAGAGGAGCGUGGAAUUCCUGGUGUAGCGGUGGAAUGCGUAGAGAUCAGGAAGAACACCCAUGGCGAAGGCAGCGCUCUGGGCCGGUACUGACGCUGAGACGCGAAAGCGCGGGGAGCGAACGG
rnacentral:rRNA from 1 species